rnacentral:rRNA from 1 species
UACCUGAGUUUUGAUCCUGGCUCAGGAUGAACGCUGGCGGCGUGCUUAACACAUGCAAGUCGAACGAUGACUUCUGUGCUUGCACAGAAUGAUUAGUGGCGAACGGGUGAGUAACACGUGAGUAACCUGCCCUUAACUUCGGGAUAAGCCUGGGAAACCGGGUCUAAUACCGGAUACGACCUCCUGGCGCAUGCCAUGGGGGUGGAAAGCUUUAUUGCGGUUUUGGAUGGACUCGCGGCCUAUCAGCUUGUUGGUUGGGGUAAUGGCCCACCAAGGCGACGACGGGUAGCCGGCCUGAGAGGGUGACCGGCCACACUGGGACUGAGACACGGCCCAGACUCCUACGGGAGGCAGCAGUGGGGAAUAUUGAAAAAUGGGCGAAGCCUGAUGCAGCGACGCCGCGUGAGGGAUGACGGCCUUCGGGUUGUAAACCUCUUUCAGCAGGGAAGAAGCGAAAGUGACGGUACCUGCAGAAGAAGCGCCGGCUAACUACGUGCCAGCAGCCGCGGUAAUACGUAGGGCGCAAGCGUUAUCCGGAAUUAUUGGGCGUAAAGAGCUCGUAGGCGGUUUGUCGCGUCUGCUGUGAAAGCCCGGGGCUCAACCCCGGGUCUGCAGUGGGUACGGGCAGACUAGAGUGCAGUAGGGGAGACUGGAAUUCCUGGUGUAGCGGUGAAAUGCGCAGAUAUCAGGAGGAACACCGAUGGCGAAGGCAGGUCUCUGGGCUGUAACUGACGCUGAGAGCGAAACCAUGGGGAGCGAACAGGAUUAGAUACCCUGGUAGUCCA